rnacentral:misc_RNA from 1 species
UGGCUCUCGCAUCGAUGAAGAACGCAGCGAAAUGCGAUAAGUAAUGUGAAUUGCAGAAUUCAGUGAAUCAUCGAAUCUUUGAACGCAACUUGCGCUCUCUGGUAUUCCGGAGAGCAUGCCUGUUUGAGUGUCAUGAAAUCUCAACCAUUAGGGUUUCUUAAUGGCUUGGAUUUGGGUGUUGCCAGUCUCUGGCUCGCCUUAAAGGAGUUAGCGAGUUUAACAAUGUCCUCUGGAGUAAUAAGUUUCUCUGGAAAGGCUUGUGAAGUUUGCUUCUAAUCGUCUUCGGACAAUUACUUUGACUCUGGCCUCAAAUCAGGUAGGACUACCCGCUGA